rnacentral:rRNA from 1 species
CUACGUGCCAGCAGCCGCGGUAAUACGGAAGGUCCGGGCGUUAUCCGGAUUUAUUGGGUUUAAAGGGAGCGUAGGCCGGAGAUUAAGUGUGUUGUGAAAUGUAGACGCUCAACGUCUGACUUGCAGCGCAUACUGGUUUCCUUGAGUACGCACAACGUUGGCGGAAUUCGUCGUGUAGCGGUGAAAUGCUUAGAUAUCACGAAGAACUCCGAUCGCGAAGGCAGGUGUCCGGGCUGCAACUGACGCUGAGGCUCGAAAGUGUGGGUAUCAAACAGGAUUAGAUACCCUGGUAGUCCACACAGUAAACGAUGUAUACUCGCGGUUUGCGAUAGACAGUAAGCCGCCAAGCGAAAGCAUUAAGUAUACCACCUGGGGAGUACGCCGGCAACGGUGAAACUCAAAGGAAUUGACGGGGGCCCGCACAAGCGGAGGAACAUGUGGUUUAAUUCGAUGAUACGCGAGGAACCUUACCCGGGCUUGAACUAACGGUGACGAAUCUAGAGAUAG